UCCAGAGAUGGAUUUGUGCCUUCGGGAACUGUGAGACAGGUGCUGCAUGGCUGUCGUCAGCUCGUGUUGUGAAAUGUUGGGUUAAGUCCCGCAACGAGCGCAACCCUUAUCCUUUGUUGCCAGCGGUUAGGCCGGGAACUCAAAGGAGACUGCCAGUGAUAAACUGGAGGAAGGUGGGGAUGACGUCAAGUCAUCAUGGCCCUUACGACCAGGGCUACACACGUGCUACAAUGGCGCAUACAAAGAGAAGCGACCUCGCGAGAGCAAGCGGACCUCAUAAAGUGCGUCGUAGUCCGGAUUGGAGUCUGCAACUCGACUCCAUGAAGUCGGAAUCGCUAGUAAUCGUGGAUCAGAAUGCCACGGUGAAUACGUUCCCGGGCCUUGUACACACCGCCCGUCACACCAUGGGAGUGGGUUGCAAAAGAAGUAGGUAGCUUAACCUUCGGGAGGGCGCUUACCACUUUGUGAUUCAUGACUGGGGUGAAGUCGUAACAAGGUAACCGUAGGGGAACCUGCGGUUGGAUCACCUCCUUACCUUAAAGAA
rnacentral:rRNA from 1 species